GCCCUGGUAGUCUAGUGGUUAAGAUUCUGCGUUUUCACUGCUGCGGCCCAGGUUUAUUUCCUGGUCAGGGAA
rnacentral:tRNA from 1 species